rnacentral:rRNA from 1 species
UACAGAGGUCCCGAGCGUUGUUCGGAUUUAUUGGGCGUAAAGGGUGCGUGAGGCGGCGGAGUAAGUUGGGUGUGAAAUCCCGGGGCUUAACCUCGGAAAUUGCAUUCAAAUACUUGCUUCGCUCGAGUACUGGAGAGGAGGCUGGAAUUUACGGUGUAGCAGUGAAAUGCGUAGAUAUCGAUAAGGAAGGCCGGUGGCGAAAGCGGGUCUCUGGGCGAACAACUGACGCUGAGGAGCGAAAGCGUGGGGAGCGAACAGGA